GGGGCUGAUUCUGGAUUCGACGGGAUUUGCGAAACCCAAGGUGCAUGCCGAGGGGCGGUUGGCCUCGUAAAAAGCCGCAAAAAAUAGUCGCAAACGACGAAAACUACGCUUUAGCAGCUUAAUAACCUGCUUAGAGCCCUCUCUCCCUAGCCUCCGCUCUUAGGACGGGGAUCAAGAGAGGUCAAACCCAAAAGAGAUCGCGUGGAAGCCCUGCCUGUGGUUGAAGCGUUAAAACUUAAUCAGGCUAGUUUGUUAGUGGCGUGUCCGUCCGCAGCUGGCAAGCGAAUGUAAAGACUGACUAAGCAUGUAGUACCGAGGACGUAGGAAUUUCGGACGCGGGUUCAACUCCCGCCAGCUCCACCA
rnacentral:tmRNA from 2 species